AUACGGAGGAUGCGAGCGUUAUCCGGAUUUAUUGGGUUUAAAGGGAGCGUAGGUGGGAUAUUAAGUCAGCUGUGAAAGUUUGGGGCUCAACCUUAAAAUUGCAGUUGAUACUGGUUUCCUUGAGUACGGUACAGGUGGGCGGAAUUCGUGGUGUAGCGGUGAAAUGCUUAGAUAUCACGAAGAACUCCGAUCGCGAAGGCAGCUCACCGGGCCGGAACUGACACUGAUGCUCGAAAGUGCGGGUAUCAAACAGGAUUAGAUACCCUGGUAGUCCGCACAGUAAACGAAGAAUACUCGCUGUUUGCGAUACACGGUAAGCGGCCAAGCGAAAGCGUUAAGUAUUCCACCUGGGGAGUACGCCGGCAACGGUGAAACUCAAAUGAAUUGGCGGGG
rnacentral:rRNA from 1 species